GGGGGUGUAUUGGUUUCGACUGGCGUGAGGUCAUGCCAAUGGUUGCAAGCGGAGCGCCAACUCCUAAAACUAGCAAAACACAAAACUGCCAAGAAAGAAGACAAUGUCUCUUACGACGCAGAAUACGCUCUCGCUGCUUAGGUAGUAGGAACGUACAGGCUUCAAAGGUGCCGCUCUUAACCUCUGAGUGCUUGUAACAAUAAGGGCUAACCCCAGGAAGUGCCGGUGGUCAUGGGGGACAAUACAGCUGGUGUAGGAAUGGAUACGUCGGCCGCUGGCCCGAACCAUUUCGAAACUAUGAACAGCGGCUAAGCUUGUAGAGGCCGUUGGGUGGCACGUUAGGACGGGGGUUCGACUCCCCCCACCUCCAAAA
rnacentral:tmRNA from 5 species